rnacentral:rRNA from 1 species
CGCGUAUGUAACCUACCUAUAACAGGGGCAUAACACUGAGAAAUUGGUACUAAUUCCCCAUAAUAUUCGGAGAGGCAUCUCUCCGGGUUGAAAACUCCGGUGGUUAUAGAUGGACAUGCGUUGUAUUAGCUAGUUGGUGAGGUAACGGCUCACCAAGGCAACGAUACAUAGGGGGACUGAGAGGUUAACCCCCCACACUGGUACUGAGACACGGACCAGACUCCUACGGGAGGCAGCAGUGAGGAAUAUUGGUCAAUGGACGCAAGUCUGAACCAGCCAUGCCGCGUGCAGGAAGACGGCUCUAUGAGUUGUAAACUGCUUUUGUACGAGGGUAAACUCACCUACGUGUAGGUGGCUGAAAGUAUCGUAC